AUACGGAGGGUGCAAGCGUUAUUCGGAAUCACUGGGCGUAAAGCGCGCGCAGGCGGUCUUUUAAGUUGGAUGUGAAAGCCUACGGCUCAACCGUAGAACUGCAUCCAAAACUAUUAGACUAGAGUGUGGGAGAGGAAGAUGGAAUUAGUUGUGUAGGGGUAAAAUCCGUAGAGAUAACUAGGAAUACCAAAAGCGAAGGCAAUCUUCUGGAACACUACUGACGCUGAGGCGCGAAAGCGUGGGGAGCAAACAGGAUUAGAAACCCCGGUAGUCC
rnacentral:rRNA from 1 species